UUUGAAACAUUUCUUAAUUAUGCAGGUAAUUUAUUAAUUACCGGGUAACGGGACAUUACCUAAUUGCCUAAUAACUGGAUAAAGAUUAAACUUUCCACCCCAUCCCCAUGUGGCAGCCCCCUCACCUUCUAAUAAUGACUCAUUAGUCAUUUAAAAAGAUGUCACAUGUUAGAGAACACAACAAAAUAUGAAGUCAAUCUUUUCGUUUGGAUGGUGACCUAGAAUGCUAUAUAUAACGGGCUGAGAAAUUAAUGAGGCAUCACAUAUCAGUUGGGACUUCAUGAGCAAAGAAAUGAGGGAGGGAGUAUUAUUUUAAAGUUCCAUGUAAAGUGAUGGUCCAUGCUUUGGGUAUCAUUGUCAAGUACAUAACCAAGUGUUAAUAAGUUAGGGGUCCCCUUUCUGCUGUUGCUCCUUUCAUAUUAUUUUUAGAGAAAUUUUUUUCUAAUUCAACUAGUCACUAUUUGAAGUAGCUAUGGAACCUAAAUGAUUGUCUUUAAGUUGGCUAAUGACAACACUAUUAGGUACAUGGGCAACUCAGUGCCAUGUUUCUGCACCUGUAGAUAGUGAAACCAACAGCUUGGAUGAGCUGUUGUAGGACCUAUUAGUGUAACUUAUGCAUUAUAUUUGGGUAAAGCUUAAUAGCUCUUCUCCCCCCCACCCCCUCCAUCUUAAACUUAUAAAAGUCAAUACUACGUUUGAUUGGGGAGAGAAGAGGAGGAAUCAGGUAUUUGGUGGAGUAGAAACUGUAAAUGAAGGCUAGAAUUUUGCAGAGCCUUCAAUUGUCGUCAUGGAUUAAUUCGGAUAAGGUAGUAAGGAAACCCGGUGGUUUCUUGCGUUUCUUUGUGAAAUGGAAUGAAAAACUGAGGCAUCGUACAAUCAUAUCCUACCAUUUACAGCCUAGAAAAGCUAAUAGACGAGUAGCAUUGAAGGUUUCAUGUUCUUCUCAUAAUGUUCAAGGACUUGAUGUAAUCUUUCUCAAGAGAAUCGGCCUAGGUAUAGAUAAUUAGUUGACGAGCCCUUAUAGUAGACGAGAUUGGCAUUCAGCAAAGGAUCGGUAAGACUCUACCUCAUUCGGAGUACAACCGAGUGUGCAAGUCAUCGUGUCUGACUUUUCAGACUUAUGGGUAGGCCGGUACCCUAUCCUAUUUUAUGUCAAAUAAUAUUAGAGACUUUGUAGACACUGGUUUAAUAUGCACGGUAUGUUAAAGCCUUGACAGCCCAUAUGUAUUCAUGUUUUAUGAACGAUGGUUCAUUGAUAUAACAUUAGCCCACUUAUAGUUA